AAAAUCUAACUAAUAACACAAAUCAAAAAAGGUUGAAUCUAAAGAGAGAGAGAGAGAAAAAGACUUAGAUCGAGCAUAGAAGAGCAAGAGACAAUAAGAGAUGAGUAUUUUAGCUAAAGCUUUCUGGAUUGCCUGAUUGAUGAUGUUAUCCUCUGCUACUGUUUUUUGUUGUUUUCUUCUUACUGGAUAUGGUGUUCCUCUGGAUUCUUUGCAAUUUCUCUAGUAGCGCCG
rnacentral:misc_RNA from 1 species